UGCUGCCAAUAUAUACAGCAGCAGGGGCACGUGUUCAAGAACCUCAAGGGAGAAAAGACACAUGCUGAAUCCUCUGGAAGUCACUGGCUCCAAACCCGUGGAGACAGACAGCCCUGGCUAAACUCAGUAAGCCACGAAACAAGACGACGACUUGGGUAUGACAAACAGGCCUGGAAGGAGGGAAGGGACUGGAUAAGAAAGAGAUAAGAGAGCGGGUCCAUUCAUACCUGCACGAAAUCGCUGACGGACAGAUGUAACUAAAAAUGUUACUGUUAAUAUUUUUCUUUACAAUCCUGAA